GCGUCGGACGUGUAUCGUAGUAUCGGCAGCGGGCCCGCAAAGCUGAGCGCGCGCGCGACACUCUGCUAUCCACUAUUUUUCUUCCUUUCGCGGUAUACAAGUACAAAAAAUAAUAAUAAUUCGACGCUCUGUGUUUCAACAAAGUGCCUCACAAGUUAAGACUUUUCAUUUCGUUUCAACGAGUCGAUCAGUGCCAGCUCAAGCAGGUCUUAUGAUACACAUGCUUGACGAGUGAUAAAGUGCAGUCAUAAUAGCAGAUAUUAAUUCGACCUUCUGCCUGCCUGCCUGCCUGCCAGCAGCAUCCUACGAGCCAAAAUUUUAAUUUGUCCGCAAAUCGUAGGUGAAUAGGGUAGCAUACGACGACUCGUGUGCACAGUUGGUCGUCGCUGCAGCUGGGAGAAAAAACGGCCUACCUCACGCGAUUCCUAUAUAGACUUGUUUACGCGGGUGAAUUUCUCCUCGACGAAAACACAAUAAAUUAAGCUCUCGUACGCAAUAUACGUAAAAGUUAUACGCGUGCGGCAAUUUAUUUAUUUACUCGGCUCUCGGUUCGCUGCACCGCUGCCACUGUUACUUGAGUUUAUUGAUAAGACUAAUUGACGGAUUGUGUGCCAGCUAUAUGUGUGUACGCGCGCGGGCCUAUUAAACGCGAGCUUUUCUCUCGUCGAACGUGAUGCGCGAUAAAUCAUCGCCGCAACUGCCUCGCGUUAUGAAGCGAUCGCGGGAAAAAGUUGAAAAGUCCAUGUAUAAGCGCGCCAAUAACAAAAUGAUCGAUAAUAGUAUUCCUCGAGCCGAGUAAUAAGUCAUUGAUUCUCUCUCUCUCUCCCUGAUUCGACGAAAGAAUUCCGCAACAAUAGCAGAAAAUAUAAAGUGCAUCUACAUAAAACAUGCCAUUUACGAGUGGCAUAUUAUAGCAGAGCUCCCAGCUGAUCGGCAUGAGGCAGAUGUGUACACGAGUGCGCGUAUCUCGCCAAGAGACGCGAAAACGAAGCAACAAAAAAAUAUGUACCAACUUCUUUUGGCUCGAGUCGUGAAAGUAUACGCGUCGCGCAAAACUCGUUUGUCCAUUAGAAAAUUACCACUGCUAUAUAAAGUUAUAUAUACGUAAUAUGUAUCAAGUGUAUAUGAAAAAUAGUCGGCGAACUUGAUCCUCGCGUCGCCACCGCCGCAGCCUCUGCCGGAUCGCGGAACCGUAAAUCAUAUAUACACUCGCGCUCGCGCGCGCUUUAUUGCCGAGCAUUCCUCCAUUUUAUAUAUACAGGCCCGAGCCGGUACACACGCACGGGUACUCCUUUUUUUUUCUCUAGCGCACUCGAAUCUAUCUCGUUUUAUUUUUGUUUAACUUAUCCGAUGACGAGUCGCGCCAACAUCGUUAUUAUCGACGAGCGACAUUGUUCAGAUUUUAUCCUCAGAUAAGAUUGAAAAUUAAAUAAUACAAACGUAACGCUUCGUGGCUCGUGCCUUUUUUUCUCUCUCUCUUUCUCCAUAUUACAAACAGUGUGUAUACAUAUUUUGUAUUGCGAAUCAGAGAAGACAAUACAAAUUGCGUAUUACGCGGCACACAUUUUAAUGAGGAGAUAUGUAACUCCCGCGCGCGCGCGCGCAUUAUGCGUCAAUUUUAAAUAAUUUCAUCGUGCCGCGCUGCUGGACGUAUAUAUUAAAGGAAUGAAAAUAACGAAGCGGGUCAUUGUCACGAGGGAAAUUAAAAGCUUUUGUUUUCCUUCGUUUUUAUUUCUUGAAUGAAAAGCGCGAGUAGUCGAAAAAUCUUCCGAGCGUAAUUUUCCACACUGGACGUAUAGUUUCGAGCUUUGAGCGCCCGAGGGUAAACGACGCGUUUAACAUAAACAAAUGAACAACAGACGCGUCGAAUCAGGCUAAUCAAUCUUCCUCGGCCAGAGAGCGCAAGAAAAAAUAAAAAAAUAUCAAUCACAAUUACCCCGAUCGAUUGGCGCGAUGCGAUAGAGUCACCUAUAAUAAACACUGCGAGCGCGAUCGAGCCAAGAUGUGUUACGUCUCGUGAUGUGCAUCUCAAAAGAUUACCAUCGCCUAUGAUUAUUUAUUCGCUCACGGAUCGAUGUCGUUUUUUCUUCUUCAUUCGCUUCUUUACAAGGAAAUCCGUAAGUGCAAAAAAAAAGUCCAUAUCGCGCCUCGGGUGGAUCGAGUAGUCUGUGCAUCGCAUACAACGCACGAGUAUUGAAAUUUCGAGCGCACGCGAACUAUCGAUUGUAUAUAUAGCAGAGCGUGUAUCGAAUGCACGGGAUGGAUUGUUGUCGUCUUACGUGGCCUACCGCGACGCCACUGAGUAGCUUCUAUUCGUGUCGUUCGUCAGUUCUAAUAUGUAAUGUAAUCGGCUCGAGCACUCAGGUUGACGACCACAAAAUUUCGAGUGUCUCGGUGAAAAAUUACUGAAAAAAAAACAGGUGCUUCGCGAUCUGUUUACCCACUCGAGGUUGGGUAACAUUUUUGAGACUCGGUGAGCGAUGGUGCGCCGGCGAGGCUACAACUUUUUCAACGAAAAUCCUUAUCGAGUCAUCGGCUACACUUUUUAUCUACAUAUUUAAAUUCCUUCGUAUAGAUAAUGCGUUGAUAAAAUUGCAAUCAAGUAUUGCGAUCGUCGUACUUCAUCGAAAUACCGUAGCAUCAUGGAUGCUUUAAUAAAAAAAAAAAAAGUACUGACACGCUCGCGCAAGACACUCGAGGCGCUACCGACUGAGUCAAAUGUUUUUGAAAAUCGAUCGUUUACGAAAUUUCUCUCUCUGUGGCACGCGUUCAAAACAGCGCAUACCGCAUCUGCGUAAUGCAAUAAUCGGAAGCUCGAGCCGACUGCAGAGUGACGUAUACGGACGAACAGGAUUCGGCUACGUUUUGAUUUUUCGCGUCCAUCUCGGUGGCAGUUUGACUUAUCGCGCAGUCACUCCAAUUAGCUUGCGAAACGUCGCUUCCUUCGGUCGCGGAGUCGAAUUCUCGAGCGCGACCAUUGCUAUUUCGCGCUAUUUCGUACAAUAUACGCCGUGUGUACGGCAAUCAUGUGUCAUUAGAUACACAUAAUAUCACGAAAACGGAAGCUGCGGCCUUAAUUCGCCAAGUUGCGCUCGGAGUCAAUUAAUUUCGUACUCGGCCGAGCGAGCCGAUCGGCGGCGGCUUGGAAAGUCCCGCGCGCUCGGCUCCGACUCGUUGUAGCGCAGAAGCGCGAUCCUCGUUUCUUGCGCAAUCGUCCGAAUACUUUUUGCCAUUUUUUCCCCUCAUUCUAUUCGCUUUCACUGGCAUUUUUUUCGCUUAGACUCGAACGAAAUUUGCCAAAGUCGUUCUAAGAAUCGCUACGCGAUAUGGAUCCGUGCGACUCGGAGCGCGUUGAAUAAUUUACGCAAAACCGGCCCGAGGCGCGAGAAAACGCUACACGCUUUCUUCCUUGACGAUAUGAGUAGUCGUAUAAUGAAAAACAAACUGCCUCGUUAGGCAUAAUCGUAAUGCUUCGGCGCGUGAUGAUCGCAAAACUUAUUAGGCAGGUGUCGGCGAGAUGCUGCGCGUAUCUUUCACUCGAGCCAAGUUCGUGAGCGCGCGAGCUUCAUUGGUACGCGAUACUACCGUUGCUGCAAACAGAAAAACGUGCGUGCGCACCGCUCCGAUACGCCAGUGACUUUACCAAGUAUUCCAAUCAUUUUCAACGAAACUUUGGAUUUUCUCAACGACGAAAAAUUAAUCUUCAAUUAUUCUUCGUAAAAUUGUUCAACUAUCGGUGCUGUGUGCGUUGCACGUACGAGUUUUGCAUCGAACGGAGUGUUGUAUUUUUUUUUCUCUAACAAAAAGUGUCCCACAACAGCUGAAGCGGAAAGUGAGUGAGCUGCCGUGCAAGUAUGCGUUGAACGAUCGAAAGAUCGUUAAAAGAGAAACAGUGUCAAACCGUGAAAAUACGAACGAUAAGCAAGUGAAGCAAUCGAGUAUUAGGAAGAAAGAGAGGAUCGAAGCUAAAGGAUGGAUUCGACGUCGGUCGUGAGCGAGGUCAGCCCGGUGGCCAACGGGGCCUCCUCGAGCACGAUCCUGCUGCUGGUGAAAAUCGGCUCGAUGAUCGUCCUCGGGAUCGGCUCGCUGGUUCUCGGCAUGCUGCCGCUCCUCAUUGGCCGCUGCCGCGAGCGCAAGAGCCUGACGCAGCGCAAGGUAAUGAGCAGCGUCCCGAGCGCCAACAACUCGGCCGCCUCGACGCUCACCGUCGACACGCAUCAGUACGCCGAGACGGCUCAACAAGGCCUCCUGACGUCGCUGCUGCUCUGCUUCGGCGGCGGAGUCCUCCUGUUCACGACGUUUCUCCACCUGGCGCCGGAGGUCCACGAGUCCGUGGCCUACCACCAGAGCACCCACCAGCUGGUCGACCUGGGCAGCCUCAGCCUCGCCGAGCUGCUCUUCUGCUGCGGCUUCUUCCUCGUGUACCUCGUCGAGGAGACGGUCCACGCCGCCCUCACCAGCAAGCCCGACUCGACCGAGAGUCUGCUCUAUCGCACGGUCUCGGUGCGCCGCUGCAACAACAACAACAGCAGCAGCAACAACAACAAUAACAACGGCAGCAACAACAAGUCCAACGGCAGCACGACGUGCAGCAGCGCCUCGAGUCAGCCGCGCAAUUCCCUGACGGUCGUCCAGCCGAGGAACAGUUGGCGCCCCGAGGCGGAAAACGACGAGGACGGCCACGAGACAAAGUCCGCUUUUGUCCUCUCGCCGCACGCCUUGGAGGAAUCCAGAGCCAAGGUUGUCGCUAAAGCUCAACAGCAGCAGCAGCCUCAUCAGCAUCACAGCCACCACCACCACCACCACGCGAGCAACUCGAUGAAGAGCUUGCUGACGGUGCUGGCCCUGUCGUUCCACGCCAUCUUCGAGGGUCUGGCCGUGGGCCUCGAGCCGGCCUUCAUGUCGGUCGUCUACUUGGCCGGGGCCAUCGCCACCCACAAGCUCGUCAUAUCGUUCUGCGUCGGCAUGGAGCUGUACGUGGCCGGCGCCUCGAAGCGCACCAUACUCGGCUACCUCAGCGUCUUCUCGAUGGUCACGCCGCUCGGCAUAGCCCUGGGCCUGGCCCUCGGGCACUUUCGCAACGACAGCGAGACCCUCGGCCCGACCCCGACCAUCCUGCAGGGCAUGGCGGCCGGCACCCUGCUCUACGUCGUCUUCUUCGAGGUGUUGGCGCGCGAGAGAGCCAACGAGAAGAGCGGACUGCUCCAGUUGGCCGCCAUAAUCGUCGGCUUCAUGCUCAUGCUGGGCCUUCAGCUCGCCAGCGCCUCCGCGCACUCGCACGAUCACGGACACUCUCACGCUGGGCAUGGCCAUUGACCUACUACGUAAUAAGCUUCGCAUCCAAGGAUCCAUCAUCAACGAUGUGCGUUUGGUUUUCUCCAACGAAAUAUUACUUUUUAACUUUAUUUGCCCGAAUUUCUGCUCGAUUUAUAUUUCAUUUUUAUACAUAUGCUGCUGUUGAUCAACUUACGGACAAGGACGCUGAGGAUUUAUCGACUACACAAUGACGAGCCGAUGUAAAAUAUAGCCGCCGACGUCUGACGCCUUCGCCACAAUAGCAAAAACUUAUAUAUAACGUAUAUAGUAAUGCAUCGCGAGAAAAAUGAUUACACAGUCACCGUCAUUAUUAUCUACAAUAAUCCAAUACAUCCCUUCACUUUUAUUCUCGUCUUCCCUCCAUUUUCUCUUUCUCUCUAUGGAUGCAUCAGAUAGGGACCAAGCUGUGUAAUUUCUACUCGAAAUUGUAAAAAAUACACGUGUACCCGUUUUUUAAUCUUAUAAAUAUUAGAGUGAUAAUUUUUUUAUACCAUCAAUAAUUUUAUAUACGAUAGAAGUGAAGUGGCCUUACGAUACAAGUUGUUUUGAAUAAUGUUGAAUGUUGCAUGAUUCUGACUUGAGUCUGAAAUUAAUGUGGAGAAAAGAAACCUGCCAAAAGGGUAACCGCUUCCACUCAAAUUUCUGCAAUAGGCUCUUAGAAAAAAAUUUUUUAAACAAGCAUAAUAUGUCUCGUUCAACUCAAAAUCGUGCAACCGAUUAAAUCUGUAAAAAAAUAAGUCUAAGAAGAUUAGUGUUAAAGUUUUAGCUUGUAAAAACGUAUGUUAGAAUUAAUUACAUUAGAGUGAUACUUAAAAUAGUUUUUGUCAAUACACAGAAUUUCGUAUGACAUAAUUCUGCGUUAUUUUUCAACCAUCCAUCCAUCAUAAAUAUAAUUGUUCAUGAAGUAAAGAUUGUAAAGUUGUUAACAUCGAAAUCAAUAAUAAUAAUUCAAGAACAUAUUCAAAAACAUUUGAAAUUAUUUGAUACACCUUGUUCAACUUGUAACAACGGAUUUCCCAAUGAUUACAUUACUUUCAAUAACUUAAAACUCAUAAUUUAAACGUAAACGCAUUUGUACGUAAAAAAUUGAAUUUUUUUCAAAAAGGUUUUAAAACCCAGUACUUUACUGUUUCGCAGUGGAAUAUAUUUUUUACGAUGAAUAUGACAUUCACGAAUAGGCCUAUAAAUAAUGUAAUUAGAUGCUACCACGAGGGCAAAGAUAGGACGAAUUUGCUGAGGUCCUUAUGUGAUACGAUUAAAUAACGAGACCGAAUGGUAAGAUGCAUGCAGUAAUAUAUUUCUAUACAAUUUAAACAAAAACUUACUUUUGUUUGCAUAUUUUGACAAAUACUUUUUUUCAACUAUAUUUUCCUUACGCUAACUGAGACUCAAUAUUUUAGUACACACAAAAUCUUUUUACACCGAAAAAAUAGAUGAACAUUAUCUUUUUUAAUUUGCACAAAGUUCAAAAUAGCUAUUAUUUUCUAUCUAUAAUGCGUAUACCAUAGAAAUAAAAAAAAUAUCGGUAUUUAAAAAUCUUCGUUGAAAAUUAUCGUCUGUGAUUCCAUGGUAUGAUUAUGUUCUUGAAGCGUCGCAACGUAGAAGUGGUAGUCAAUGAGAAAUGUAGUUACAAUACAUUACUUACAUUAAAAAAAGUAUUCAGCGUAUCACCAAAAAAGUAAUUGAUUGUAAUUAAAUGUUCAAAAGGAUAUUUCAAGACUGGUAACGUGAUUUGACACAUUAAAAUCUUGUUUGAAAUAAUUAAUUAAUGAAGAUUGAUUUUUUCGGUAUGAAAUACUGUUGAAUUGUUUUUUACUUCUAUAAUCUUCUAACUGAAAAAAAAAUGUUGGCUGUCAAGUAUAUUAUUUUGCUCUUUGAUAUUGUUAUCAUUGCAUGAACAUACGAUAUCUAUAUUCUUUGUUCUCUCGCCGAAAAAGAUGUUGAUUUUAUUAGUUUAAAAUAUUGAUAUAUUACAGUACGAUACAUAAUUUAGAAAUAUUUGAUACUCAAAAUUAUACUUUCUUUUUUGCAUAAAGCUAUAGUAAAUAUACUUCAAAUGUUUCGAUAUUUUACAUACAUUUAUUACAAAAAUUUACAUGUUUUAGAAAUAAAAUAUUAUUUUUCUGUAUUUCUAGGG